UGCCAGGCAGGCAAUUGAUGCGAAAUACAUGAAACUGUGAAAAUGGUUAGUUAAAUUCGUUUUGUGAAAUCGCUUUGCGUUUGCCGCCUUUUUCAUGUGAGCAACGAAAAUGUGACGUCAUAUCAGCCCCCUGAUGUAGAAAAUGUAGAAAACCUGGAAAACAAUCAAACAGAAGCAGACACAGCAGACAGCACACGGAUCGACCAAAGCAAGAGUUUGACUUCAGUGAUUGUUCGUCAUCAAUCAACCGCGAUUCAGCUUCGCUGAAAUUUCUGGGCGAUACCUCUGAAUAUUGUGCUUGUUACCGUACAGUACGUAAACCGGAAAAUUUUAAAAUGAGCAGUGGAAAGCAUUUGGCAAAAGGAUCCACUCCACCCGUGCUCGGAAACGAUGGAAAGCUCCGGCUUUACUCGAUGCGUUUUUGCCCGUACGCUCAGCGGGUACACCUGAUUCUGGAUGCUAAGAAAAUACCAUAUCACACAAUCUACAUCAAUUUGAGCGAAAAGCCCGAGUGGUACUUCGAGAAAAACCCUCUGGGCAAGGUGCCUGCCCUGGAGGUUCCCGGCAAGAGCACCGAAACGCUCUACGAAUCGCUUGUCGUCGCGGACUACAUCGAGGAAGCCUACCCGGACAAACAGCGCAAACUAUAUCCGGUGGAUGCUUUCCAGAAGGCUCAGGAUCGUAUCCUGAUCGAGCGAUUUAAUGGUUUGGUUAUUUCACCUUACUAUCGGAUCAUGUUCUCCAGUGACGGCAUUCCACCGGGUGCCAUUACCGAGUUCGGUACUGGUUUAGAUAUUUUCGAAAAAGAGCUAAAAUCUCGAGCAACUCCAUAUUACGGAGGCGACAAGCCCGGUAUGCUGGACUAUAUGAUUUGGCCGUGGUGCGAGCGGGUUGAUUUGCUGAAGUUUGCUCUGGGCGAUAAAUACGAGCUCGACAGGGAACGUUUUGGCAAGUUGCUACAAUGGCGCGAUCUCAUGCAGAAGGAUGAAGCCGUGAAAAAGUCAUUUCUCUCCACUGAAAGCCAUACCAAGUUUUUGCAGAGUCGCAAAGCAGGAGAGAAUAACUACGACUGCGUAGCGUAAGCAUUCAAACGAAUAAACAGCUUGGCUGCUUCAGAAGUUUGUUUCUCCAAUAAACUAUGCCAAAAGGUUUCGCGUUUGGUAGCUCAAAAAUCGUGAAACGUUGAAGAAAUACAGUGAACUUCACUAGAUCGAAUAAAUAUAACUCAAUCAAAUCGCAAACAAAACAAAGCAAUGUGUAAUGGACUUCGGAUCUGAACAAUGUCAAAAAUAUCAGCUUCGUCGAUUGUACGAAUAAAUAUAUACUUAAUUUUUACUU